rfam:Anoxybacillus amylolyticus strain DSM 15939, complete genome.
CUCUUAUCAAGAGAGGUGGAGGGAUGUGCCCGAUGAAACCCGGCAACCGUCAGCGCUGCUGAAAUGGUGCCAAUUCACACAAAGCGUUUGCUUUGAGAGAUAAGAG